rnacentral:misc_RNA from 1 species
UUUCCGUAGGUGAACCUGCGGAAGGAUCAUUAAUGAGUUGUCAUGGAGUUCGAUGCUGGCAGCCAAUUUUUGGAUGCAUGUGCUUGCCCUAACAAUCAUCUUCCAAACACCUGUGCACAUUUUUGAGGGAGUCUUGAGUUGGUUGCCGCUCUUGGGUGAUUUUCUCACAUUCCCUUAAAUCAUUAUACGCUAUUAACAAUGUUGAACGUGCUCUGUGCCGCAAGGCUAUUAAUAUAAUACAACUUUUAACAACGGAUCUCUUGGCUCUC